rnacentral:tRNA from 1 species
GGCUCAGAGGUAGAGCACUUGCCUAACAUGCAUGAGGCACUGGGUUCGAUUCUCAG